GGGUUUGUCAGGCGACGUCAGGGGUUGGGACGGACUUUUAAUCCAUUGGUCGAGAGUUCGAAUCUCUCCGGGCCUACCA
rnacentral:tRNA from 1 species